UCCCACGCAGCCCCAUACCUGGCCUUUCCGAACUCACCAUAGCCCAACCUGCCCCAUAACACCCUGACCCCUGCCUCAACUUCUUUGAAACAUCCAAGCCCCUCAAAAGAAAGACUUCUGAGUCCCCCAGACCCCCACCAACCCCUCUUGCCCCCACCUGCCCUCCAGUUUGUAUGCAAGAACGACAAGUGCAUCCCCUUCUGGUGGAAGUGUGACACCGAGGACGACUGCGGGGACCACUCAGACGAGCCCCCGGACUGCCCUGAGUUCAAGUGCCGGCCCGGACAGUUCCAGUGCUCCACAGGUAUCUGCACAAACCCUGCCUUCAUCUGCGAUGGCGACAAUGACUGCCAGGACAACAGUGACGAGGCCAACUGUGACAUCCACGUCUGCUUGCCCAGUCAGUUCAAAUGCACCAACACCAACCGCUGUAUUCCCGGCAUCUUCCGCUGCAAUGGGCAGGACAACUGCGGAGAUGGGGAGGAUGAGAGGGACUGCC
rnacentral:lncRNA from 1 species